rnacentral:lncRNA from 1 species
UGAAGCUCUUCUUCAUUCUCCAAAAUCAGAAAACGACGGAUGAUUUAGUCUUCCCCAUUUUUUGGGUUUUCAGCUCAUUUUUUCUUGGGGAGAAGUGAUUAGGCAGUACAUGACUAGUAUGCAGGUUACCGAGGACUUGACCCUUGAUAGGGGAGUCUGGAGGUCUAGAAUCAGGGUUGCAGGCUAGCGGCUCUUAGAGUCCUUCGUUCGCCCCACCCGGGGUUGGAUGUGAGAUAGUAGGGUUACUCGCAGAUGACUAGUGUUUUAGCGUAGGUCCCCUCUUGGUUGGUAAUAUGAUAGUUGUCGCUUGUUAUUGUCGCAUGCGACGGUAUUUAUGUUUCUGAUGUUUACAUAAUCAUUUACGUUAUUUCUGCAGGAUUACUUAUGCUUUGUUUUGUUAUUGUGUUUUGUCUUGUCUUGGUUCCUAACUUUAUCUUUGUUUUNNNNNN